rnacentral:rRNA from 1 species
GACGAACGCUGGCGGCGUGCUUAACACAUGCAAGUCGAACGGUGACCCAUCUUCGGAUGGUGAUCAGUGGCGAACGGGUGAGUAACACGUGGGCAACCUGCCCCUAGCUCUGGGAUAACUCCUCGAAAGAGGUGCUAAUACCGGAUAUCACCUCCCUGGACAUCCAGGGUGGUUGAAAGUUUUUCGGCUAGGGAUGGGCCCGCGGCCUAUCAGCUUGUUGGUGGGGUAAUGGCCUACCAAGGCGACGACGGGUAGCCGGCCUGAGAGGGCGACCGGCCACACUGGGACUGAGACACGGCCCAGACUCCUACGGGAGGCAGCAGUGGGGAAUAUUGCGCAAUGGGCGAAAGCCUGACGCAGCAACGCCGCGUGAGGGAUGACGGCCUUCGGGUUGUAAACCUCUUUCAGCAGGGACGAAGCGAAAGUGACUGUACCUGCAGAAGAAGCGCCGGCUAACUACGUGCCAGCCGCCGCCGUAA